AUGCAGUCGAACGAUGAUCCGGUGCUUGCACCGGGGAUUAGUGGCGAACGGGUGAGUAACACGUGAGUAACCUGCCCUUAACUCUGGGAUAAGCCUGGGAAACUGGGUCUAAUACCGGAUAUGACUCCUCAUCGCAUGGUGGGGGGUGGAAAGCUUUAUUGUGGUUUUGGAUGGACUCGCGGCCUAUCAGCUUGUUGGUGAGGUAAUGGCUCACCAAGGCGACGACGGGUAGCCGGCCUGAGAGGGUGACCGGCCACACUGGGACUGAGACACGGCCCAGACUCCUACGGGAGGCAGCAGUGGGGAAUAUUGCACAAUGGGCGCAAGCCUGAUGCAGCGACGCCGCGUGAGGGAUGACGGCCUUCGGGUUGUAAACCUCUUUCAGUAGGGAAGAAGCGAAAGUGACGGUACCUGCAGAAGAAGCGCCGGCUAACUACGUGCCAGCAGCCGCGGUAAUACGUAGGGCGCAAGCGUUAUCCGGAAUUAUUGGGCGUAAAGAGCUCGUAGGCGGUUUGUCGCGUCUGCCGUGAAAGUCCGGGGCUCAACUCCGGAUCUGCGGUGGGUACGGGCAGACUAGAGUGAUGUAGGGGAGACUGGAAUUCCUGGUGUAGCGGUGAAAUGCGCAGAUAUCAGGAGGAACACCGAUGGCGAAGGCAGGUCUCUGGGCAUUAACUGACGCUGAGGAGCGA
rnacentral:rRNA from 1 species